CUAACACAUGCAAGUCGAGCGGCAGCGAGGUUAGUAGCACUACUAAUUGUCGGCGAGCGGCGGACGGGUGAGGAACACGUAGGGAUCUGCCUUAGAGAGGGGGAUAACCAAGGGAAACUUUGGCUAAUACCGCAUAAACUCGGGAGAGAAAAGCUGCCUGCAAGGGUGGCGCUUUAAGAGGAGCCUGCGUGCGAUUAGCUAGUUGGUAGGGUAAAGGCCUACCAAGGCGAUGAUCGGUAACUGGUCUGAGAGGACGACCAGUCACACUGGGACUGAGACACGGCCCAGACUCCUACGGGAGGCAGCAGUGGGGAAUCUUGGACAAUGGGGGCAACCCUGAUCCAGCGAUGCCGCGUGGGUGAAGAAGGCCUUCGGGUUGUAAAGCCCUUUAGGUUGGGAAGAAGUGCAUAAGUUUAAGAGAUGUAUGCAUUGACGGUACCGACAGAAUAAGCACCGGCAAACUCUGUGCCAGCCGCCGCAGUAA
rnacentral:rRNA from 1 species